CAGUCGCCACGGUAAUACGUAGGUGCAAGCGUUGUCCGGAAUUAUUGGGCGUAAAGGGCUCGCAGGCGGUUUCUUAAGUCUGAUGUGAAAGCCCCCGGCUCAACCGGGGAGGGUCAUUGGAAACUGGGAAACUUGAGUGCAGAAGAGGAGAGUGGAAUUCCACGUGUAGCGGUGAAAUGCGUAGAGAUGUGGAGGAACACCAGUGGCGAAGGCGACUCUCUGGUCUGUAACUGACGCUGAGGAGCGAAAGCGUGGGGAGCGAACAGGAUUAGAUACCCCGGUAGUCCCUGUCUCUUAUACA
rnacentral:rRNA from 1 species